rnacentral:rRNA from 1 species
UACGAAGGGGGCUAGCGUUGCUCGGAAUCACUGGGCGUAAAGCGCACGUAGGCGGACUCUUAAGUCGGUGGUGAAAUCCUGGAGCUCAACUCCAGAACUGCCUUCGAUACUGGGAGUCUCGAGUCCGGGAGAGGUGAGUGGAACUGCGAGUGUAGAGGUGAAAUUCGUAGAUAUUCGCAAGAACACCAGUGGCGAAGGCGGCUCACUGGCCCGGUACUGACGCUGAGGUGCGAAAGCGUGGGGAGCAAGCAGG